rnacentral:rRNA from 1 species
GAUGAACGCUAGCGGCAGGCUUAAUACAUGCAAGUCGAGGGGCAGCAGGUCCCGCAGCAAUGCGGGAUGCUGGCGACCGGCAAACGGGUGCGGAACACGUACACAACCUUCCUUUAAGCGGGGAAUAGCCCGGGGAAACCCGGAUUAAUACUCCAUAGUAUAUUGAAAAGGCAUCUUUUUAAUAUUAAAGAUUAUCACUUAAAGAUGGGUGUGCGGCUGAUUAGGUAGUUGGCGGGGUAACGGCCCACCAAGCCUACGAUCAGUAACUGGUGUGAGAGCACGACCAGUCACACGGGCACUGAGACACGGGCCCGACUCCUACGGGAGGCAGCAGUAAGGAAUAUUGGUCAAUGGACGAAAGUCUGAACCAGCCAUGCCGCGUGGAGGAUGAAGGUCCUCUGGAAUUGUAAAACUUCUUUUAUAUGGGAACGAAAAAGGGAAUUUCUUUCUCGUCUGACGGUACCAUAUGAAUAAGCACCGG